GCAGCUGCUAAGAGCUCCGGUUGUAGCUGCUGGAGCUUGAAGUUAGCAACGGAUGCUUGUAGUAGCUGCUACAAGCUCCGGUUGUAGCUGCUGGAGCUUGAAGUUAGCUACGGAUGCUUGCAGCAGCUGCUAAGAGCUCCGGUUGUGUGGAGCGUGGAGAGCACAACACUCACGAACCUAACUUCCAGCUGCAGCUGCUGCUAUGGCCGCUCGUUCAAGAUACCGGAGCAAGCACAUCUGUUCACGUUGCUAGGCUACAUCACGUAGCAUGCCAGACGGACCCACCACAGAUGCGCACACAUGGAACGCAGCUUUCUAUGAAAACACUGCGACCUCACUACAAAAGUACAGGCACACAGAAAACUGUGCUGCACUGAUGUCGGUGUUGGGACCUCAGCUGUAAGAGACCUCGCUUGGAGGAGGGAGAGGACAAGAUGUGACAUUACGUGGAUAACCUGUUGGACUUCAUCUUUCACGAGGUUUUUCAGGACCCGGCCCCAUAUGUGAAUGAGGUGCUGAAGAUCUCAAAACCUGAGGAUCUCUCUGCCUAGUAUGAGAAACCUGACAAGCAGGAAGUUAUGGCCAGCUAUGUGUUUCUAGUUUCAAUCAAGGGCAGGUCUGAACCCUGUAUAACUUCCCUGAGCAUCAGGGAACACUCUGCGUAUCUGGAGCACCGAGCAGGAGGGCAGGACCACCCUGAUUCUCCGGCCCAGAGGGCCUCAACACCAGCUCACAAAGCUUCUGUACGCCAAAUACCUGUAACGGCUGAGCAAAGUUCACAUUGUAUUUAGAGAAUAAAAGGUGACACACAAAUAUAAAGUGUUCCUUUGUUUACAGUAUAGCUACUGAUGGCACAAAUUGUAUUUUUGUAAUGAAUGUAUUUAUUAUACUUGGUAUUUUUUGUAUUUAUUACCUCUGUCCCAGCAAGUACAUUUAAUAACUAUGAUUAAAAAGCUCUGUGGCAAUCUUUCUAGCAAUCUUUCUGACAAUAAAAGUUUAUAGAAACAGUUGUGUGCUUUUAAUGUUUGAUAUGUAACAUGUCAACAAUUGACACGUGUAAGAUGAGCAGUUAGCAAAGUAAUACAGAGGGAAGAGUAAUUUAUGUAUUUUA